UACGAAGGGGGCUAGCGUUGUUCGGAUUUACUGGGCGUAAAGCGCACGUAGGCGGAUCGUUAAGUCGGGGGUGAAAUCCUGGAGCUCAACUCCAGAACUGCCUUCGAUACUGGCGAUCUUGAGUCCGGAAGAGGUGAGUGGAACUCCUAGUGUAGAGGUGGAAUUCGUAGAUAUUAGGAAGAACACCAGUGGCGAAGGCGGCUCUCUGGGACGGUACUGACGCUGAGGCGCGAAAGCGUGGGGAGCGAACAGG
rnacentral:rRNA from 1 species